rnacentral:rRNA from 1 species
CCUACGGGAGGCAGCAGUGGGGAAUAUUGCGCAAUGGGCGAAAGCCUGACGCAGCGACGCCGCGUGAGGGAUGAAGGUCUUCGGAUCGUAAACCUCUGUCAGCAGGGAAGAACGGUCACUGUGCUAAUCAGCAGUGAAUUGACGGUACCUGCAAAGGAAGCAUCGGCUAACUCCGUGCCAGCAGCCGCGGUAAUACGGAGGAUGCGAGCGUUAUCCGGAUUUAUUGGGUUUAAAGGGUGCGCAGGCGGGAGAUCAAGUCAGCGGUAAAAUGUCGGGGCUCAAACCCGGCCGGCCGUUGAAACUGGUUUUCUAGAGUUGGAGAGAAGUAUGCGGAAUUCGUGGUGUAGCGGUGAAAUGCAUAGAUAUCACGAAGAACUCCGAUUGCGAAGGCAGCAUACCGGCUCCAUACUGACGCUGAGGCACGAAAGCGUGGGGAUCGAACAGGAUUAGAUACCCGGGUAGUC